AUAUUGCACCAUGGUGGACACCCUCAUGCAGCAACACCGCGUGAGCGAGGUAGGCCUUCGGGUCGCAAAUGUCUGGCCUACGUGAUGAACAUAUGACGGUACCGUAGGAGGGAGGUCCGGCGAACUAAGUGACAGCAGCCGCGGUAAGACGUAGGGGGCAAGCGUUAUCCGGAAUCACUGGGCGUAAGGGGUGCGUAGGCGGUCGACAAAGUCUGGGGUGAAAGGCUACGGCUCAACAGUAGUAAGCCUUGGAAUCUUGUGGACUUGAGUGCAGGAGAGGUAAGUGGAAUUCCUAGUGUAGCGGUGAAAUGCGUAGAUAUUAGGAGGAACACCAGUGGCGAAGGCGACUUACUGGACUGUAACUGACGCUGAGGCACGAAAGCGUGGGGAGCAAACAGG
rnacentral:rRNA from 1 species